CAGCAGCCGCGGUAAUACGUAGGUGGCAAGCGUUGUCCGGAAUUAUUGGGCGUAAAGGGCUCGCAGGCGGUUUCUUAAGUCUGAUGUGAAAGCCACCGGCUCAACCGGGGAGGGUCAUUGGAAACUGGGAAACUUGAGUGCAGAAGAGGAGAGUGGAAUUCCACGUGUAGCGGUGAAAUGCGUAGAGAUGUGGAGGAACACCAGUGGCGAAGGCGACUCUCUGGUCUGUAACUGACGCUGAGGAGCGAAAGCGUGGGGAGCGAACAGGAUUAGAUACCCCGGUAGUCCCUGUCUCUUAUAC
rnacentral:rRNA from 1 species